AGGUCUUGGUNUUAAACCUCACGUUGUCUUUAUCCCAAACCCAUACAUGCAAGCCUCACCACCCCGGUGAAACAGCCUAUACAACAAAUAGAGCCGACAUCAGGUAGCCACCCAUGACGCCAAGCAACCAGCCACACCCCCACGGGCCUGCAGCAGUACUUAAUAUUGGGCCAUAAGCGAAAGCUUGACCUAAUAAUGGGACACACCACAGGGCCGGUUAAUCUCGUGCCAGCGACCGCGGUUACACGACAGACCCGAGACAACGUCACCGGCGUAAAGCACGACUAAAAAACAGUCUUACACAUUAGGAGAGAGGAAAAACUGGGCUGUAAAAAGCCAUAUGUAUAACAAAUUCACUUACCUAACAAAAAACUACUUCAACUCGUGAAAGCAGGGACACAAACUAAGAUUAGAUACCUUACUAUGCCCCGCCGUAACCCAGCAAUAAAAUAACUGAUUGCUCGCCAAAUAACUACGAGUAGAAACUUAAAAUUUAAAAGACUUGACGGUACUUCACAACAACCUAGAGGAGCCUGUCUAAUAACCGAUAAUCCACGAUUAACCCAACCCGUUUUUGCCCAACAGUCUAUAUACCGCCGUCGCCAGCUUACCUUGUGAAAGAAACAAAGCAAGCCAAACAGUAUUAACACUAACACGACAGGUCGAGGUGUAACAAAUAAACGGGUUAAAGAUGGGCUACAUUUUCUAACCCAGAAAAAACGGAUAAAAGCAUGAAACACAACCUGAAGGCGGAUUUAGCAGUAAAAUAAGAAUAGAAUACUUAUCUGAAAGAUGCAAUGAAGUGCGUACACACCGCCCGUCAUCCCUGUAAAACAACACCAACAUUCAUAAACACAUAAACACCUCAAAGCAGGGCAAGUCGUAACACGGUAAGCAUACUGGAAAGUGUGCUUA
rnacentral:ncRNA from 1 species